UUUUUUUAAAGUGAAUGUACCAUAGGACAACAAUGGUAAAUUUGUAUUUUUAGGAAGAGAGAUCUCUGCAAGCAAAUAGAAAAUUGGACAACGGUUUGGUGUAAGCCACAACCACUUUGAUGCUUAAGUCAGAAGGAGAAGAGAAUAUUUUAUUUUUGUUGGAAAACUUACUUUGUUUCUGCUAUGCUCUAUCUUAUUUAUAAGUUUUGACCUUCUCCCUAUUCCUUAUCCAAUUAGAGCUUCUGACUAAGCUAUCGAUUUGGGAAAUCCUUUUAGGCUGAGGUCGACCAUCCCACGUCCUUACCCAACGGGUUUCAUCCCUUCUCGACUGAGCCUAUAAGGGUUUCAUCCUUACCCAACUCUUUUGAGGUCCAACCGUUUUUCCAACGUGCUUCUCCAUCUCAUGACGAAGCUAUGCAUCAAAUCGUGUCAGACCCACUCCUUGGAUAGGCCCCGACAACAGGUUGUUGCUCCACUAGUCCUGGAUUUCUCCUGGACUAGGAGUCAGCCUUGAAUAUUGUCCAGUUAGAUCCUGGCUUCCAUACAUUUUUUUUCUCUGGUCAUAGCUUGUUAUCUAUCUUUUUUCCCGGCUUAUUGUCUUGCCUCAAUCUAGGGUGUAGUUUGUCAUCUAUCAUAGCUUGCUGUCUGUCACUUCCUUUCCACUUAGUUUGGAUUAUUUGACCCGUUCUUCUCGAAGCCCCCUGUGAUGUUCAUUUUUGUGCUUCCUUCGGUCGGCCCUUGGGCCGAGGCUGACCAUGAGUUAUUGCUUUCUUGGGCUUCUUCAUUUGGUGCUCGACGUUCCAUGGGGUGGGAGAGUCUUUCAGUCCUGAUCUACCCUUGUCAUGAAGGGAAUUAUAGAUAGACAUCAUUUGCACUCUAAUAAUCAAUAGUUCGGAGGAGGCGAGCAGAUUGAAGGAGUGAUCGGAAGAAAGGAAGAGAUGGAGUUGCCGGAAUUUCGUAGUAGUGCUUUUGAGCUUGAUGACAGUGAGGAGAGGGUUCUUGCAGAUGAGAAGUUUCUUGAUCGAUUCAUGCCGGAAGGGGAAGUUCAGAGGCAUAAUAUGCGUGCAUUGUUUGGAUCGUUUCAAGUAGUUUUUGGGAGUAAUUUUGAAUGCUAAGAGGAAUUUGUUGCCAGCCAGAAUAGGCCAAAGGAAACUCGUGUGACUCGGGUUAUACAAGGCUAUGAAACACAUUCUUUUAAGUCCAACUUCGAGUCCUGGCCAGUUGGAUCAGUGACUACAGUUGCUGAGGAAGGAAGAGGAAAGUAGCUGGUAGUUACCACAUCUAAUUGAUAAAAUGAGUUUUUUAUUCUGCUUGCUUUAAUUAUUAUUCAAAAUGGUACUCUUUUUGUAAACAACUCUAUUGAAGUAACAAGGUCUUGAUCUCAAGGGAUUAACAAAAAGUGCACCAGUGAAUGAGGAAGUUCCACCAUUGCUGGAGGGAGGCGGGAAAAUCGAGGUUUAAAUGAUACCAGUUUUGGUUGUUUGAAAUGGUUAGAUUAGUUUUGAUUGUUUAAUCAGGGUCCUGAUGGUUUUCAUUCUCUAAAUAUGAAAAAUCAAUGGCAAUGCCAAAACUCCAUUGCUUGCAGAGGAUAUUGGUAAAUUUUAUAGUGAAGACUGCCACAUCAUUCUUUACACCUAUCACUCUAGUGAGAGGAAAGAAGAUUAUUUCUUGUGCUCUUGGUUUGGAAAGGAUAGCAUCGAGGUUAGUUAGCAUUUAGGGUUUAUUUUGAGAAAAUCUAACUAUUGUCAGUUACAUACUUAAACUUGGAAUGUGGUAGUACACUUGCCAAUUCAGUUGAAUAACUAGUGUUGAUUCUUUAAGAAAGGGAAUAAUGGAAGAUGGUUUACUUGAUCUAAUGAAAGUACUUUUGAUUCUUGUAAAAGAAUAAUUGCUUGUAAACAAGUGUAGAGAUGUUUUCUCAUUCCUUACAUUUUCAUAUCAUGACAUAUUUAAGUGCAUUUGUAUAUAAACAUAUGUGUUUAUUGCUGUUAAAUCAUUUUCUAUUAUUUCAAACAUCAAGAAGAUCAAAAGAUGGCUACACGGUUGACGAAUACAAUGUCCAACUCGCUGAAAGGUUCAUGAAAAUUACAAGAUCAAAAGAUGGCACACAGGAAGCAAAUGGAUGGGGAUGGUCAACCGUUGUUGCAACAGCAGCAGUAACAGCAACAGAUGGUUCCAUUACAAGAUACAUACUUGCAGAGCAGAGCUGAAGCUCUUCAAAAUGUUGAAUCCACCAUUCAUGAAUUGAGCAAUAUCUUCAACCAGCUGGCAACUCUGGUUUCUGAACAAGGAGAGAUUGCUAUCAGGGUGGAAUGUCUAAUGAGAUGUACAAUACUAUUGCCCUUGUUAUAGAUGGAAUUUACGAUGGUAUAGCAAUUGAAGGUGAUGUGUUUCCAAGUUCCACUCUUUCAGUCCAUAUUUUGCGGUUUAACAACAUACCACAGGUUGCAACCUCACCAAACUCUACUGAGUGUUUUGUCCUAUAAUUCGGCUCUUCUGUUUUCUCUUGGCAUGGAAACCAAAGUACAUUCGAGCAGCAACAGUUAGCUGACAAAAGUUGCAGAGUUUCUAAGGGUAAGGUCUCAAACAUUUUAUCCAUUUAUAUCUAUAUAUAUAUUUGAAUGGAUACAAUCUUCCGUUGCAUGUGUUACGCUUAUGCCCAAACCUUUAUUGUUUAUGAUCCUUUGAACAAUAGUGGUCUGACAAAGAUGCCUAUAACCAGACAAAGAUCCAUACUUACCAAGUG